CGCGGCUCAGGGAGUCAGGGUUGGCCGGCUCUGCCCAGAGGCCAGGUGGAGAGCUGCCAAGCCCCCUGUCCUCCCGCUUCCUCCUGUGUCCUCGCUGUCCUCCCUGGACCUUGUGGAAGAGCCAGGUCUUGUUCCUGCUUCAAAGACCAGCAACCAGCAGGCAAGAAGGGAAUGCACAUUCGCUCACACCCUGCUGUGAGAACCACGUUCACCUGUCCACAUCCAAAGAGUGAACCAAGAGACUUAAGGCAGAGCAGAAAGCCAGGCUUUGCUUUAAUGGGACUUGCAAGAUCAAGAUCUGGUGUCUUGCAAGAGUUGGCUGGGGGAUGGGGGGAGCAGGCACACCCAGACUGGGGACAGCCAGCCUUCUAACCCCUAGAGCCCAGGGUCCCUCCCCCAGGUCCUCAUUGGCUGAGAACCAUGGGGUAUAGGGUAUUCCUGAAAGUGUCCUAGGUUUUACUGUCUCCUGUUGGGUUUUUCAAGGAACCAGUACCUUUAGCUGUCCCCACCUCCCUUUGUUUUCUUGUGCCUUUUGGCAUCUACGAGGUUUAUUCUAUUGGUCAGAUGAGUUGGGGGGACCCAACUUGUAACUUUCCAUUCUGCCCUCCCCUCCGGCUGCCUUUCUUGCAUCCCAAGUCACUUCGCAUUUAAAGCUAUGUACUGUAUUUUGAAAAUGGACCACAGGAUUUAUUUCUUCUCACUCCACUAUGCACGAAGCCCUGUGCCCAGUGGAGCCACAAGGUUUCCUUCAUUAAGUCUCAUGAUCGCCUUUCUAGGGGAGGAUUAUUCGAGCAUCCAGGACUGAAAUGCAGAAAGGUUGAAUAACUUGCUCAAGUGGCUUAAGAUUCGCAGGGGGAACAGCUCAACCCUGUGGUCAUCUUAAAUGCCUGAAGCCACUCAGCUCCUGCUCCGAUGACUCUAAUGGCAGGUGACAUUGCCCUCAACUACCUGGCAAGGUCCUCUUUGGAAAUCUGUGGCUGAAGAACCACUGGUCCCCAGUAACAUUUCUGGGGACCAACAGCAGCCUCCCCCUGGAACACAGUCCCACGAUCUUAAGUCAAUCAUCGUGUUCUCUGAGGCUGCGGUCUCCCUGCAAGGUUGGUUGAGCUGAUCACCUUCACGACGGGGUGCCAUUUCCCUACCACGUCUCGCUGCUGCAGAGCAAGGCCAUCCACGGAGCCAAGGCAACUGAGAGAUCCUGGUCCCCCAGAGUUUGCGGUCAAGCCAGAGGAUUGCAGAUUUUAUGGUUAUGAGACUUCGCUUCCAAGUAUCCUGUUGACCUGGAUCCUGGAAUCUCAUCUGUGUAAAGUCACAAAAUGCCUCGCUUCAGGGUAACUUGUGUUCUUAUGCACAGGGACAAGCCUUUGGGACCUGCAUUUCUCCUACAGAUAAUAGGUUGUUUGCUGAUGAAUAUAAUAUAUCCCACUGACUUGAGCCAGGCAGGGCCAGAGCAGUCUCAGGCAAAUUGUCCUUCAAAAGAAAGACAGUGAGCCUGGUCUAUAGAAUGAUCCCUUUAACCUCCUGUUCUCACCACUUGCUUCUGUUUGUGACCUGUCAAUACCAAUCAGGUGGCUCUGCUCUGACCACCUGCCACACCCCUGUCUUGCUUUGGCAGUCUCUUUGAUUGCAGAUGUAAAUUGCUCAACUAGCUUGGCUAUUUGUCUUUGGAUUGAUUAGGUUCCAUUUUUAGCAGCAUGUAGGAGAAUCGUCAACAAACAGUUUGUUUAAACUGGUCAACUUUCUUUAACCCACAGGCAAAUAAAUAGGAAAUAAAUUCAUUGUCUCUUACAAUGAAGAGAAAACCCCAGAGCGUUUGACCCAAAUGAAGGCCACUCAUCAAUUCUCUGCCAGGUAAAAUUCAGAAGUCUAUAUAAGUCAUUCUUUAGUACGAACCAAUGCAGAUUUCUCUGAUGAAUUUGCAAAGUGUUUUUUUUUCAAAGAAUCUUAUGGUGAGAUUUUUGAAAAAUUAUUAUAUUUGGCAAAUACAUGAGCCAGAUACUGUUCUAAAUGAUUUGCAAAUCCUUAGCUCAGCAGUCCUCUUGAUAAAGCUAUGGAGUACCACGACUGCUGUUCACGUUUAAUAGACAAGGAAAGGGGACAGAGAACCACCCAAGGUCCACACUCGAGCUCCACGCUGCUGCUUCUUAAGUUAAAAAAGGAGCAGGAGGAAGAGGAGGAGGAGGAGGAGGCCGGUGGGAAGGGGAAGAGAAAGAGGGGAAACAACAAAAGUUCUGUUUCUUAAAUGAACUGCAGGAAUAAUCCUCAGGGUUCUCUGUUACUCUCCCGCCGUUAUUCCCCUCCGUAUUCUCUCUCCUCCCAUCUGUCUCUGUGCCCCACACUCCUUAAGCACAAAACUCUGCCUUUAAGGCUGAUAGUCGCUCAGUCCUCCUCUUUGGCUCAGAAAAAUACUCUGAAUCCUAUUAAUAAACACGCCUCUAUAUUUGGACUGUGUUAUUACUCACGGCACUCAGAACAAAUAGAACUGUUUGAUCUUUGGCAAAUAGCAUUUCUCUUGAAGGUGUUAGAGUGACGAGAUCAUAUCCAAUUGAUGAAAACAAUUAACUGCAAGGAUGAGCUGUAAUAAAUUAUGCAUUAGAAAACAGACUCCUUUUUAAAUUUGGAGACCUCUGACCAGUAUCAAGAACAGAUUAAAUGCAUUCCUUUAGGGAGAGAUAUGCUAUCAGAAGAGGCUGUGUUUGAGUCCAAUGCACUGACAUGUAUUCUCUGUAACAGAAUGCUUCUCCUCAGUUAUUAGUACCCAUCUCUCAUACCAUCUCUCAUAUCUGAAACCCUGGAUCAUGUAUCUUUCCAUUACUCAAUAUUGGUAUUUCCUAUUCCCCAUAUGCAUCUCCCCUCCCUGCUUACCCAGCCUGAUCCCACCAUUUAACAAGGAAGAUAUGCUUUUUACUAAAGCCCCUGUUCCUGUAUCCCAAGCCUUCUGCUAAACUCCCACUGAAGUAUCAAACCCUGGCCCAGACCCACCAUAGGCCAGCUGAGUUCCUUCAUCUUAAUUUUUAAGAGUCCUAAAUUACAGGCUCAGGCCACAUGAGUUGGGGGACCUGGGUGCUGGUCUCCAUUUUCUUAUUCAUUGUUGGUAGCUACUGUGAUGGCAGAGUCACAGCCCCCAAAGAUGUCCUUGUCCUGGUCUCUGACACCUGUGAAUAACCACUCUCCCUGUCAAAGGGGACUUUGCAGACUUAAGUUAAGGGCCUGGUGUCGCAAUAUGCGAAGGAAUCAGGUCACUCCAGGUGGAUUGGGCUGGCAACAAAAAAUAAAAACACACAAACUCAGAACCUUUUGUGAGGUUCAGGAUGGCUCUGCAGCCUCAAGAAUCAAGCUCCCACACUGGAGGGCAAGGAGGGCAAGUGGCAGGAAAGAGAGCAAGCAGCCUGAAACCCCCUACUUAUUGGGGAGAAGCCAUUCAUAGAAUAUCCCACGCAAAUAAGGCAAGGGGUCAGGUUUCAGGGGGUUGAGUCUAGCUUCGUGAUGUCUUGUGGUCAGUAGAUUGAUUGACAUCUUGGACACCCAUCUCAGAUGCCGUGUGGGAACGCAGGAAGAGCGAGAGGAAAGGGCACACGUGUGUUGCACAGCCCAAAGAGCAUGCAACACCAGGCCAGUCCUCUCAUAUGCCCCAAUGUGCAUAGCUCACACACACAGCCCAUGGAUGGCCCGCAACAGCCUGGAGACCUGGAGGUUGUCCUGGAUUAUUUGGUGGACCAGUGCAUCACCAGGGCUGUCACAAGAAGACAAGAGCAUCAGAGUCAGAGAUGCCAUGGCAGGGGUCAGGCAGAGCGCUCUUGGAAGAUGCUGCAUUGGUGGCUUUGGGGAUGGGGGACAUGCUGUGAGCAAGGAGGCGGGUGGCCUCUGGAAGGGAGAAGGCUGGAAGGUGGAUUCUCCCCUUUCACUUCCAGAGGAGGACAGCCCUGCCACCACCAUGCAGUUAGCCCCGCAAGACCCCGGUUGGACCUCUCAACUCCAGCACUACAGAGAACGCAUCUGCAUUGUGCAGGCUGGGAAAUUUGUGGUGAUAUGUCAUAGCAGCAGUAGGAAACUAAUACAUUUGCUCCUCCCAGUACCCCAGGAAAUACAGCAAAAUAUCCCCUCCCUCUCAUCCUUAUAUACCUCUCUGUGGGCCACUCUGCCUACUACUUCAUAAGAGAAAAAGCAUUAUUUAAAUCAUUUUAUGCAUCUUACAAAGCAACACAAUUUAGAGUCAGUAAAUUUUUUUCUACAGUU